AUUGAACGCUGGCGGCAUGCUUUACACAUGCAAGUCGAACGGUAACGCGGGGCAACCUGGCGACGAGUGGCGAACGGGUGAGUAAUGCAUCGGAACGUGCCCGGUAGUGGGGGAUAACUGCUCGAAAGAGCAGCUAAUACCGCAUACGACCUGAGGGUGAAAGGGGGGGAUCGCAAGACCUCUCGCUAUUGGAGCGGCCGAUGUCGGAUUAGCUAGUUGGGGGGGUAAGGGCCCACCAAGGCGACGAUCCGUAGCUGGUCUGAGAGGACGACCAGCCACACUGGGACUUAGACACGGCCCAGACUCCUACGGGAGGCAGCAGUGGGGAAUUUUGGACAAUGGACGCAAGUCUGAUCCAGCCAUGCCGCGUGCGGGAAGAAGGCCUUCGGGUUGUAAACCGCUUUUGUCAGAGAAGAAAUCUUCUGGGUUAAUACCUCGGGAGGAUGACGGUAUCUGAAGAAUAAGCACCGGCUAACUACGUGCCAGCCGCCGCGGUAAGAC
rnacentral:rRNA from 1 species